AUUGAACGCUGGCGGCAUGCCUUACACAUGCAAGUCGAACGGUAACAGGUCUUCGGAUGCUGACGAGUGGCGAACGGGUGAGUAAUACAUCGGAACGUGCCCGAUCGUGGGGGAUAACGCAGCGAAAGCUGUGCUAAUACCGCAUACGAUCUACGGAUGAAAGCGGGGGAUCGCAAGACCUCGCGCGGACGGAGCGGCCGAUGGCAGAUUAGGUAGUUGGUGGGGUAAAGGCUCACCAAGCCUGCGAUCUGUAGCUGGUCUGAGAGGACGACCAGCCACACUGGGACUGAGACACGGCCCAGACUCCUACGGGAGGCAGCAGUGGGGAAUUUUGGACAAUGGGCGCAAGCCUGAUCCAGCCAUGCCGCGUGCAGGAUGAAGGCCUUCGGGUUGUAAACUGCUUUUGUACGGAACGAAAAGGUUCUCUCUAAUAAAGAGAGCUCAUGACGGUACCGUAAGAAUAAGCACCGGCUAACUACGUGCCAGCAGCCGCGGUAAUAC
rnacentral:rRNA from 1 species